rnacentral:rRNA from 1 species
CUGCUGCCUUCCGUAGGAGUUUGGGCCGUGUCUCAGUCCCAAUGUGGCCGUCCACCCUCUCAGGCCGGCUACUGAUCGUCGCCUUGGUGGGCCGUUACCCCGCCAACAAGCUAAUCAGACGCGGGUCCAUCUUACACCACCGGAGUUUUUCNCACAAAUCCAUGCGGCUUCGUGCGCUUAUGCGGUAUUAGCACCUAUUUCUAAGUGUUAUCCCCCAGUGUAAGGCAGGUUACCCACGCGUUACUCACCCGUCCGCCACUAAGUA